AAAGAAAAGAGUAAAGUUAGUCUCAAGCAGGAAUCGGGAAAUUGGGAAUGGUCGCCUGGCCUCUGUCACUCGCCUCUCCAAUCCUCUGUUCUGUCCUGCCUCGGUGCCUCCUCUCCGUCGCUCCUGUUUCCGGCUCUCCGCUCCGGCUCCUCUCCAUCGCUCUCAUCACCGACUCUCCCGAGUGGCAGAUUCAAGUUUCCCGUAUGUAUCAUUGGGGUCAUUGGGCUGGGAAUUGAUCUGCAAUAGAACGGUGAAAUCUCCUUCCUUCUGAAGGAUCUGGAUGAUGUCAUGCUUGCGGGUCUUGGACGGGGAUGGAGGCAAGGGAGGUGGCGGUGAGGGUGGAAGAGCAACCUUUGCCGAUGAAGGUGCUUGAGCUGGUGCCAGAGUUGCUGCUAAUGUGAGGAUAGUGAUGGAGAGGACGGAGAGAAGUAGGAGUGGGAAAUGGAGGUGGUCCAAACUCAUUGUGACUUUCCUAAUAUUUGGUUUACUUUGGAUUCUCUUAUGAUGAUAUAUCACUCUGAUUUAAGAAAGUUAAUGUAUCCUAUGGUUAGGUUUAUUUGUUCUGUAAUUGGUUUGCACGAGAAUUAAGUGUUGGUAAUGGUAUAUUAGGUAACAUGUUAGCAUAUUACUUGCAUUCUGUAUCGAUGAACCCUCAGUCUUAUCAAGAUAAGGUUGAGACAACAGUAGUUGAAGGAAUGACAAGGUCUCCUAGUAUACUAAAUAAUGAAAUUGAUUUUCUUA